AUAGAUAUUGAUAAAGUUACUCAUAUAUACCUUGAAUACGGCAAGGAGUCUCUACCGGGAACCUUAAAUUUCCGACUAUGGGUGAAAUUUUUAUGUGU
rnacentral:ncRNA from 2 species